rnacentral:rRNA from 1 species
AUUGAACGCUGGCGGCAGGCCUAACACAUGCAAGUCGAGCGGUAGCACAGAGAGCUUGCUCUCGGGUGACGAGCGGCGGACGGGUGAGUAAUGUCUGGGAAACUGCCUGAUGGAGGGGGAUAACUACUGGAAACGGUAGCUAAUACCGCUUAACGUCGCAAGACCAAAGUGGGGGACCUUCGGGCCUCAUGCCAUCAGAUGUGCCCAGAUGGGAUUAGCUAGUAGGUGGGGUAACGGCUCACCUAGGCGACGAUCCCUAGCUGGUCUGAGAGGAUGACCAGCCACACUGGAACUGAGACACGGUCCAGACUCCUACGGGAGGCAGCAGUGGGGAAUAUUGCACAAUGGGCGCAAGCCUGAUGCAGCCAUGCCGCGUGUGUGAAGAAGGCCUUCGGGUUGUAAAGCACUUUCAGCGGGGAGGAAGGCGGUGAGGUUAAUAACCUCACCGAUUGACGUUACCCGCAGAAGAAGCACCGGCUAACUCCGUGCCAGCAGCCGCGGUAA